rnacentral:rRNA from 1 species
UAGCGUAUAUUAAAGUUGUUGCGGUUAAAAAGCUCGUAGUUGGAUUUCUGUUGAGAACGGCCGGUCUGGGCUAUGCUCAUGUAUCUGGUUUGAUCUCGGCAUCCUCUCAAAAUACGUUUCUGCGCUUGAUUGCGUGGAGCGGAGUUUGGGACUUUUACUUUGAGGAAAUUAGAGUGUUCACGGCAGGCAAUCGCCUUGAAUAUAUUAGCAUGGAAUAAUAAUAUAGGAUUUAGGUUCUAUUUUGUUGGUUUCUAGAGCCUUUGUAAUGAUUAAUAGGGACAAUUGGGGGCAUUCGUAUUAACGCGUC